ensembl:lncRNA
GAAGCUCCUGCCCUCCUCCUUCUGGGUCGUUUGGCUUCGUUCGAAGACCCCAGCCCAGCUUUUGCAUCCCUUCCAGUAAUUAGUGGAUUUCUUCGUUAUCUGACGGGGGUCCCGGAUCCCUCCCCCCGUGCUUUUCGUUUGCUGCAACGUUUAAUGGGGCAGCCGGCCCUUUUGGGGUCGUUGGUGCAGGGUUACGUUCCGUCCCUCAUCCAUUCGUGGUUGGUUCUGGGUUUGGAACCGGGUGAGGCAGAGGAGGCGGCGAAACCCACGGUGGGGCGGCGGGAUCGAGGGCGGGGGGGGGCGGAUGAAGAACGGGGGCUGGGGGGUCGAGGACGGGGGCAGGGUCCAGNNNNNNNNNNNNNNNNNNNNNNNNNNNNNNNNNNNNNNNNNNNNNNNNNNNNNNNNNNNNNNNNNNNNNNNNNNNNNNNNNNNNNNNNNNNNNNNNNNNNNNNNNNNNNNNNNNCAAGAACGUGGGCAGGGGGAGCAGGAACGGGGGCAGGAUCAAGAACAGGGGCUGUGGGGUGGAGAACGGGGGCAGUGGGAUCGAGAACGGGGGCAGGAUCGAGAACGUUGUCAGCUGGAUCGAGAACGGGGGCUGCAAGAUCAAAAACGGGGGCUGCGGGGUCGAGAACGGUGUCAAUCAGUGGGAUCGAGAGCGGGGUCAGCAGCGUCAGUGGGAUCAAGAAUGGGGUCAGGGGGGUCGAGAACGGGGUCAGGAUGGGGCCCAAGGGGAUCGGGGACAUCAGUGGGAUCAAGAACGGGGUCAGGGGGGUCGAGAACGGAGUCAGGAUGGAGGCCAAGGGGAUCGGGGACGUCAGUGGGGUCAAGAGCGGGGUCAGCAGCGUCAGUGGGAUCAAGAAUGGGGUCAGGGGGGUCGAGAACGGGGUCAGGAUGGGGCCCAAGAGGAUCGGGGACAUCAGUGGGAUCGAGAGCGGGGUCAGCAGCGUCAGUGGGAUCAAGAAUGGGGUCAGGGGGGUCGAGAACGGGGUCAGGAUGGGGCCCAAGGGGAUCGGGGACAUCAGUGGGAUCAAGAACGGGGUCAGGGGGGUCGAGAACGGAGUCAGGAUGGAGGCCAAGGGGAUCGGGGACGUCAGUGGGGUCAAGAGCGGGGUCAGCAGCGUCAGUGGGAUCAAGAAUGGGGUCAGGGGGGUCGAGAACGGGGUCAGGAUGGGGCCCAAGAGGAUCGGGGACAUCAGUGGGAUCGAGAGCGGGGUCAGCAGCGUCAGUGGGAUCAAGAAUGGGGUCAGGGGGGUCGAGAACGGGGUCAGGAUGGGGCCCAAGGGGAUCGGGGACAUCAGUGGGAUCAAGAACGGGGUCAGGGGGGUCGAGAACGGAGUCAGGAUGGAGGCCAAGGGGAUCGGGGACGUCAGUGGGGUCAAGAGCGGGGUCAGCAGCGUCAGUGGGAUCAAGAAUGGGGUCAGGGGGGUCGAGAACGGGGUCAGGAUGGGGCCCAAGAGGAUCGGGGACAUCAGUGGGAUCGAGAGCGGGGUCAGCAGCGUCAGUGGGAUCAAGAAUGGGGUCAGGGGGGUCGAGAACGGGGUCAGGAUGGGGCCCAAGGGGAUCGGGGACAUCAGUGGGAUCAAGAACGGGGUCAGGGGGGUCGAGAACGGAGUCAGGAUGGAGGCCAAGGGGAUCGGGGACGUCAGUGGGGUCAAGAGCGGGGUCAGCAGCGUCAGUGGGAUCAAGAAUGGGGUCAGGGGGGUCGAGAACGGGGUCAGGAUGGGGCCCAAGAGGAUCGGGGACAUCAGUGGGAUCGAGAGCGGGGUCAGCAGCGUCAGUGGGAUCAAGAAUGGGGUCAGGGGGGUCGAGAACGGGGUCAGGAUGGGGCCCAAGAGGAUCGGGGACAUCAGUGGGAUCGAGAGCGGGGUCAGCAGCGUCAGUGGGCUCAAGAAUGGGGUCAGGGGGGUCGAGAACGGGGUCAGGAUGGGGCCCAAGAGGAUCAGGGACAUCAGUGGGGUGGAGAAGGGGGUCGACAGGAUCGAGAACGGCAUCAAGGGGGUCGAGAACGUCAAGUGGGUGUGAAACGGCGGCAUCAGGAUGGGGAACGUUGGGGGGGGUGCCAAUGGGAUCGAGAACAGCGUCAGCCAGGUCUAGAACGGCGUCAACGGGAUCAGGAGCAUCAAGCAGAUGGAGAACAACGCCAACGGGAUCGAGAACCACAUGGAGCAGAUCUAGAACGACACCAACGGGAUCCAGAAUGGCAUCGAGUGGGUUUAGAGCAGCACGAGCUGGAUCUAGAACAACACCAACUGGAUCAAAAAUGGUGUCGGUGGUGUCAACGGGAUCAAGAACUGCAUCAGGCAGACCGAGAACGGCAUCAACCAGAUCUAGAACAGCACCAGCAGGAUCCGGAAUGGCAGCGAAUGGGUCUAGAACAGCAGCAAGGAGAUCUAGAACUGCAUCAACCAGAUCUAGAAUGGCAUCAACCAGAUCUAGAACAGCAUCAACAGGAUCCAGAGUGGCAGCGAAUGGAUCUAGAACAGCAGCAAGCAGAUCUGGAACUGCAUCAACCAGAUCUAGAACUGCAUCAACCAGACCUAGAACGGCACAAACAGGAUCCAGAAUGGCGUCGAAUGGAUCUAGAACAGCAGCAAGCAGAUCUAGAACUGCAGCAACCAGAUCUAGAACAGCACCAACGUGAUCCAGAAUGUCAUCAAAUGGAUCUAGAACAACAACAACCAGAUCUAGAACAGCACCCACAGGAUCCAGAAUGGCGUCGAAUGGAUCUAGAACAGCAGCAAGCAGAUCUAGAACGGGACCCACACGAUCUAGAACGGUGUCAAACGGAUCCGGAACGGCAGCGAUCAGAUCUAGAACAGCGUCGCCCAGAUCUGGAAUGGCGCCGGCGACGUCGGCGGGGUCGGGAACGGGGGGGUGAAGAUGGAGAACGGGA